CUUCCAAUCCAGAGGACAGCC
rnacentral:miRNA from 1 species